GGCGGGGCUAUACAUGCAAGUCGAGCGAGCAAUUUUAACAGAAGGCCUUCGGGCUGGAAGCUAAAAGCGCGAGCGGCGGAUGGGUGAGUAACACGUGGGCAACCUGCCCUUUAGCUUGGGAUACCACUUGGAAACAGGUGCUAAUACCAAAUAAGAAGCAAGAGCGCAUGCUCAAGCUAUGAAAGGCGGCUUUCGAGCUGUCACUAAAGGAUGGGCCCGCGGUGCAUUAGCUAGUUGGUAAGGUAACGGCUUACCAAGGCAAUGAUGCAUAGCCGAGUUGAGAGACUGAUCGGCCACAUUGGGACUGAGACACGGCCCAAACUCCUACGGGAGGCAGCAGUAGGGAAUCUUCCACAAUGGACGCAAGUCUGAUGGAGCAACGCCGCGUGAGUGAAGAAGGUUUUCGGAUCGUAAAGCUCUGUUGUUGGUGAAGAAGGAUGUGAAUAGUAACUGAUUCAUAUUUGACGGUAAUCAACCAGAAAGUCACGGCUAACUACGUGCCAGCAGCCGCGGUAAUACGUAGGUGGCAAGCGUUGUCCGGAUUUAUUGGGCGUAAAGCGAACGCAGGCGGGAGAACAAGUCAGCUGUGAAAGCCCUCGGCUUAACCGGGGAAGUGCAGCUGAAACUGUUUUUCUUGAGUGCAGAAGAGGAGAGUGGAACUCCAUGUGUAGCGGUGGAAUGCGUAGAUAUAUGGAAGAACACCAGUGGCGAAGGCGGCUCUCUGGUCUGUAACUGACGCUGAGGUUCGAAAGCAUGGGUAGCGAACAGGAUUAGAUACCCUGGUAGUCCAUGCCGUAAACGAUGAGUGCUAAGUGUUGGGAGGUUUCCGCCUCUCAGUGCUGCAGCUAACGCAUUAAGCACUCCGCCUGGGGAGUACGACCGCAAGGUUAAAACUCAAAGGAAUUGACGGGGGCCCGCACAAGCGGUGGAGCAUGUGGUUUAAUUCGAAGCAACGCGAAGAACCUUACCAGGUCUUGACAUCUAGUGCCAGUCCUAGAGAUAGGAUGUUCCCUUCGGGGACACUAAGACAGGUGGNGCAUGGNUGUCGUCAGCUCGUGUCGUGAGAUGUUGGGGUUUAAGUCCCGCAACGAGCGCAA
rnacentral:rRNA from 1 species